GUCCUAACAGAGCAACAUAUGCAGUAAAUUUUACAAAAAGCAGUAGCAGAGAAGAAAGUUAAUUAUGGAAGUUAGGGCUUUGGCCCAAAUUAGGGAUUUUGUGCUUUGAUGUUUAAUUGAUGUUCUAAUUGUGCUUCAAGGUUAGAGAAGCUUCUGAAACUUUUGGGUGUUUUAAAUUGGUUUAUGAUCAAAUAUCCAUGCACUUGCGAGCAGAGACCUUUUCAAUGAUAAGGCAAGUUUUUGAACUUCCUUCGGAGAGAGAGAGGAAGAAUUUUAGUCCAAAGCCUUACCAUGGCUAUGCCGGCCAGUUUGCCAUAGCUCUUUUGUAUGAGAGCUCGAGUAUUUAAGGUGUCUCCAACCA
rnacentral:misc_RNA from 1 species